rnacentral:rRNA from 1 species
GACGGAGGAUGCAAGUGUUAUCCGGAAUCACUGGGCGUAAAGCGUCUGUAGGUGGUUCGAAAAGUACCAACUGUUAAAAAUUGAGGCUUAACUUCAAAGAUGCCGUGGAAACUUUCAAACUAGAGUAUGGUAGGGGUUAGAGGGAAUUUCCAGUGGAGCGGUGGAAAUGCGCAGAUAUCGGGAAGGAACACCCGUGGCGAAGGCGGCUCUCUGGGAGCGGUACUGACGCUGAGACGCGAAAGCGUGGGGAGCGAACAGG